CACGUAGGCACCAAGCGUUGUCCGGAUUUAUUGGGCGUAAAGAGCUCGUAGGCGGUUCAGUAAGUCGGGUGUGAAAACUUUGGGCUUAACCCAAAGCGUGCAUCCGAUACUGCUGUGACUUGAGUUCGGUAGAGGAGUGGGGAAUUCCUAGUGUAGCGGUGAAAUGCGCAGAUAUUAGGAGGAGCACCGGUGGCGAAGGCGCCACUCUGGGCCGAAACUGACGCUGAGGAGCGAAAGCAUGGGUAGCAAACAGG
rnacentral:rRNA from 1 species